rnacentral:lncRNA from 1 species
CAUCUCUCUCUCAUCUCUCAACCGAUUUGGGUGAUCCAAAAGGCUAAGUUGUGAGAUUUUUCGAGGACAACGUGUUGGUGAGCUCGGAUAGUGAUUUGGAGUCCCAGUUUGAGGUAAUUUUCGAAAAACACCUGCUGCCAGACCCCUUUUUGUGAGCUUGAUUUUGGGAAAUUUUAAGACUUGUUUUCUUAGCCAUUUUAGACCCGAUUUUGGUGAAUUGUGAGGCUAUCUUGAGUGGUUUUUCGAGGAGAACAGCGUGGUGUUGUUAGAUUUUUACUGUAGAUCGCCCGUUUUUGGUAAAUACGCUGAAUUAGCUGCUGUCCCAUUUCUAAUUUUUGAGAAAAAUUGGGUUUUAGUUGCUUGUUGAUAUUGUGUUGUUCCCGAG